CAGCGCCACAAGUGGCAAUCGCGUUUAUUGGGCCUAAAGCGUCCGUAGCAGGUUUGGUAAAUCUUUUGUGAGAUCGUUAGGCUUAACCUAACGGAUUGCAGGAGACACUGCCAGACUAGGGACCGGGAGGAGUCAGAAGUAUUCUGGGGGGACCGGUAAAAUGGUAUAAUCCCCAGAGGACUACCGAUGGCGAAGGCAUCUGACCAGAACGGAUCCGACUGUGAGGGACGAAAGCUAGGGGAGCGAACCGGAUUAGAUACCCGCGUAGUCC
rnacentral:rRNA from 1 species